GACAGAGGGGGCAAGCGUUGCUCGGAAUCACUGGGCGUAAAGGGCGCGUAGGCGGGAUGGCAAGUCGGUCGUGAAAUCCUUCGGCUCAACCGAAGAACGUCGGCCGAUACUGCCGUUCUUGAGGGAUGCAGAGGAGAUUGGAAUUCCCGGUGUAGCGGUGAAAUGUGUAGAGAUCGGGAGGAACACCGGUGGCGAAGGCGGGUCUCUGGGAUGAUGCUGACGCUGAUGCGCGAAAGCCAGGGGAGCAAACGGG
rnacentral:rRNA from 1 species